rnacentral:rRNA from 1 species
UACAGAGGUCCCGAGCGUUACUGAGAAUCACUGGGUUUAAAGGGUGCGUAGGUGGUCCGUUAAGUCAGUUGUGAAAUCCCCGGGCUCAACCCGGGAACUGCUUCUGAUACUGGCGGACUUGAGGCCAGUAGAGGUCACUGGAACAGACGGUGGAGCGGUGAAAUGCGUAGAUAUCGUCUGGAACGCCUGUGGUGAAGACGGGUGGCUGGGCUGGUUCUGACACUGAGGCACGAAAGCGUGGGGAG